rnacentral:rRNA from 1 species
AGCCUGACGCAGCAACGCCGCGUGUGUGAUGAAGGUCUUCGGAUUGUAAAGCACUUUCGACCGGGACGAAAACCCUCUGGCUAACAUCCAGGGGCUUGACGGUACCGGGAGAAGAAGCACCGGCUAACUCUGUGCCAGCAGCCGCGGUAAUACAGAGGGUGCAAGCGUUGUUCGGAAUUAUUGGGCGUAAAGCGCGUGUAGGCGGCUUUGAAGUCGGGUGUGAAAGCCCUCAGCUCAACUGAGGAAGUGCGCCCGAAACUGCAGAGCUUGAGUGCCGGAGAGGGUGGCGGAAUUCCCCAAGUAGAGGUGAAAUUCGUAGAUAUGGGGAGGAACACCGGUGGCGAAGGCGGCCACCUGGACGGUAACUGACGCUGAGACGCGAAAGCGUGGGGAGCAAACAGGAUUAGAUACCCUGGUAGUCCACGCCGUAAACGAUGAGAACUAGGUGUCGUGGGUGUUGACCCCCGCGGUGCCGUAGCUAACGCAUUAAGUUCUCCGCCUGGGAAGUACGGUCGCAAGACUAAAACUCAAAGGAAUUGACGG